UACGUAGGUGACAAGCGUUAUCCGGAUUUAUUGGGCGUAAAGCGCACGCAGGCGGCUGAUUAAGUCUGACGUGAAAUCUCCCGGCUUAACCGGGAGCGGUCGUUGGAAACUAAUUGGCUUGAGGCGAUGAGAGGGGUGUGGAAUUCCCGGUGUAGUGGUGGAAUGCGUAGAUAUCUGGAGGAAUACCGGUGGCGAAGGCGGCAUCCUGGACCGACAUUGACGCUGAGGAGCGAAAGCUAGGGGAGCAAACGGG
rnacentral:rRNA from 1 species